rnacentral:lncRNA from 1 species
GGACUCAGCGGUUUCCUGGGCAACCGGCCUCCUCCGGCGCGGCCCGCGCGGCUCCAGGUGGCGGGAGGCGGCGGUUGGCGGGAAGGGCCGCGCGGGCCCGGGGGCGGCGCCUCAGAUGCGCUCUUUCCAGAAAGGCAGCACACGCAUGUCUCUGCCGUGGCCCCAGAUCCUCCCCGCGCCGCCGUUUUGAGCGUUCACACUCAUUACCCAGGUCCGUCUGGGAGACCCGCCGGGCUCCCGCCCUCCCGGCCCGCAGCCUCCUGGCCAAAAUCCUCCCGGGACACCCCACCUGGACUGCUGCGAACGGGCCUCCACCCGCCUCCCCGGACCCGCAGCGCCCCCCGCUCCCUCAGGGUUCUGGGGUGAAGGGGUCUGAAUAGCACCAGGGGAGGCGGCAGGGCGGGCCUGUCCUACCUGCGCCCGAGCACUGCUGAGACGACAUCCCUUCCAGCGCCGCCACGUAGUCCAGCCCCAGCCAGCCGCGAUAUCUCCCCACAAACCUAAACAAUUUCGAGAGGGACUUGUGUUCUGCAACCAGUCACAGAAUAUCAGGUGAGCUGGGCGUGUCUUCACUGACCCACCCGCCCAGGGAUGCUGCACUCCUCUCCACCCUGCUCAGAAUCACUAGAAUGACCGUUCUGUGGCUACAGCCCUAAAAGAGCUACUAAAAAGACCAGAAGUAGUAUGAGAACUUAUGAAUACGAAUAUAAAUAAAGGACAUCUGGAGAACAUGCAUGAAUGUCUAUGUAAAGUGUUAAGUACUGAUCAAGGAGGAACGAAGGAGUCAGGUGGCUCUCAGUCUUUUUGGAGGGACUCGCAGAUCCUCCUGAAGAUCUGAUGAAAGCUGUCAGCCUUCUCCCCAGAAAAAUGCACAUCCACCCAGGAUUCUUCUCCCACAUUACUUCAGAGGACUUAGCAACCCCCUAGGGAAGCCCAGGGACCCAGAGUAAAGCACUCCUGGGAUAGAGGGGUUCUGUGGGGAAGAUGACAGGAAGGAACAUGCGUCAGUUCACAAUGUCAAAGUUUAGGAACAGGCCUGGCGAGCCAGCCAGCUCUGCAGUUCUGUGGUGCUGGUGGGUGUGGAGAAGGCAAUUUCAGCAUAAGUCGGGGGAGGGGGAGUGGUUAGAAACCAGUGGCUCCAUUGUGAGACAACCUGGGUUUAAAUUCUAGGUAUAUUUUGAAAGCACAACCAAUGGGAUCUGCUGAUAGAUUGGCUGUAGAGCACGAGAGGAAGACCGGAGUCAAAAAUGACUCCCGAGGAAAUGGAAAAGCUAAAGUUGCUCUUAAUUGAAGUGGGGAAGACUGAAGGAGGGACGGGGGUCCAACUUUGGACUUGAUCCAUUUGAGAUGACUGUUAGAAACACAAGUCAAAAUGUCAAGUAUGUAGUUAAAUAUGCAAGUUUGGGACUGAUGUCUGAAGAUGUAAAUUUAGAAGCCAUCUGUAUAUAGAUGGUAUUUGAUGACAUGGGAUUGGAUGAGAUCAAGGGUAAGCUGUAGACAGGGAAGAGGGCUGAGAACUGAAUCCUAGGGCUAACAGGUCAGGGAGAUGGGGAGGAAAUCAGCAGAGAAGACUGAGGAGUGGCCAGAGAGUGAGAGGACAGCCAGGCAGGGCUGAGGACCUGGGCAUCUGCAGGGGAAGGUGUUUCCAGGAGGAGGGAGAGCUGUGGCCAGUGCCACUGAGAGGUCAAGUAAAAUGAAGACUGAGAAAUGGCCACUGGGUUUAGCAACAUGGGUCACUGUGACCUUGACAAGAACAGCUUCAGGGCCCUGGUGGGAGCCUGUCUGGGGUAGUCUCCAUCCUUAAGAGGGGCCAGAGGAGAGGACUUGCUAACUCAGUCUCCAUCCUUAAGAGAGGCCAGAGGAGAGGACUUGUUAACUCCAGAGCAGACCACUCUUUGGAGGAGUUUUGCUUCGAAAGGGAGC